GAUUAGCUCAGCGGUAGAGUAGUCGGCUGUUAACCGAUUGGUCGUAGGUUCGAAUCCUACAU
rnacentral:tRNA from 4 species